GAUGAACGCUAGCGGCAGGCUUAACACAUGCAAGUCGAGGGGCAGCGUGGAGCAGCAAUGCUCUGACGGCGACCGGCGGAAGGGUGCGUAACACGUGAGCGACUUGCCCGUCACAGGGGGAUAACCGGCGGAAACGGCGACUAAUACCCCAUAUGAUGCGAUGCUGCAUGGCAUUGCAUUGAGAGAUUCAUCGGUGGCGGAUAGGCUCGCGGGACAUUAGCUAGACGGCGGGGCAACGGCCCACCGUGGCGACGAUGUCUAGGGGUUCUGAGAGGAAGGCCUCCCACACUGGGACUGAGACACGGCCCAGACUCCUACGGGAGGCAGCAGUGAGGAAUAUUGGUCAAUGGGCGGAAGCCUGAACCAGCCAUGCCGCGUGAAGGACUAAGGCCCUACGGGUCGUAAACUUCUUUAGACGCAGAGCAAUAA
rnacentral:rRNA from 1 species